UUCUUUAAGAAACAUUAUUUAAAGUAAGACCUGCUCAAUGAUUUUAAAUAGCCGCAGUCACCUGUGCUAAGGUAGCAUAAUAACUUGCUCUUUAAUUAAGAGAUCGUAUGAAAGGUUAUACACUAAAAGCAAGUUUCUUCUAAACAAAAUAAACUUAAAAUAAAAGUCAAAAUUCUUUUAAUUAAAGCGGGACGACAAGACCCUGAUAAACUUAUCAUUUAGUUGGGGAAACUAUUUAAAUAAUCUUUAACAUUAAUUCAUUACAUAACUUUAAAAUAAAAUUAAGCUUAGUUACUACAGGGAUAACAGCGCUAUUUCUUUUAAGAGAUCUUAUCUAAAAAGAAGUUUACGACCUCGAUGUUGAAUUAAUUAUUCUUUAAGGUGCAAUAACUUUAAAAGACAGUCUGUUCGACUAUUAAAAAAUU
rnacentral:rRNA from 1 species